rnacentral:rRNA from 1 species
AUUGAACGCUGGCGGCAUGCCUUACACAUGCAAGUCGAACGGUAACGGGCCUUCGGGUGCCGACGAGUGGCGAACGGGUGAGUAAUGCAUCGGAACGUACCUUUCAGUGGGGGAUAACGUAGCGAAAGUUACGCUAAUACCGCAUAUUCUGUGAGCAGGAAAGCAGGGGAUCGCAAGACCUUGCGCUGAUUGAGCGGCCGAUGUCAGAUUAGCUAGUUGGUGAGGUAAAGGCUCACCAAGGCGACGAUCUGUAGCGGGUCUGAGAGGAUGAUCCGCCACACUGGAACUGAGACACGGUCCAGACUCCUACGGGAGGCAGCAGUGGGGAAUUUUGGACAAUGGGGGCAACCCUGAUCCAGCCAUGCCGCGUGAGUG